CAGUAGCCGCGGUAAUACGGAGGGGGCUAGCGCUGUUCGGAAUUACCGGGCGUAAAGCGCACGUAGGCGGCUUGGUAAGUUAGAGGUGAAAGCCCGGAGCUCAACUCCGGAAUUGCCUUUAAGACUGCCGAGCUAGUAGGUGAGAGAGGUAAGUGGAAUUCCGAGUGUAGAGGUGAAAUUCGUAGAUAUUCGGAAGAACACCAGUGGCGAAGGCGGCUUACUGGCUCAUUCUAGACGCUGAGGUGCGAAAGCGUGGGGAGCAAACAGGAUUAGAUACCCCAGUAGUCCCUGUCUCUUAUAU
rnacentral:rRNA from 1 species